UUAAAUGCUAUGAUAGGGACUAGUAUACAUAAGGAUAUCCAAAAGAGAGCGGGGGCAGCUGAAAACCUGCGGACAAUUGUAUGUUGAAAAUCACCCUAGAGCUGCAGGCUGAAAUCAGUAAGCUGUGCCGGUCUAUUGAUCGUUAUUCCUACAAGAAAAAUUUUGGGUGGUACCGCGAACAGACACUCGCCCCAGGG
rnacentral:ncRNA from 1 species